GCCUAUUGGUCUGUCUGGAAGAAAGGGGAGCUAUGGGCUUAUGCAUCUUCUUGAAGGAAAAAGGUGAAAUGGAUUAUGCCUGGCUCCCUGUAUGCCACAAGCUAGAGUUCAAUCCCCUCGGUGGAUUGGCUGUCGCCGGUGGCGUGCGAGGAGCCAAGCAUAUUCUUUCUUUCUCUCUUCUUUUCAAUUUUCAUCUUUCUUACUAAUUAAACUGCUUUAUCAAAUAUUAAUGUAGUUUAAUCAUUCCUUUUGUUCAUUAACAUCAUAUCUUAUAGUACUGAUCUUAUGGCUAACCAAUUUGUUACUCAGAACUUUGAAGAAUCCUGAAGUCCCUGCAUUCUUCAGGUGCUGCUCCGAGAUAUAUAUCAGUUAAUUUCUCAAAAAUCAGGGUCAUAAAUAUUUGUACAAUGCUAAAGUUUUUCUUUUUCUUUAAUAAUGUUUAACUGCUAAUUAAUAAGAAAAAAAUGAGACUAAUUUUGCGAAUCAUCAGAGGUAGGCCAUGCAUGUGUAGUAGGGCAGUACAGCCAGCUUUCAGGUCACAUUUCUCUGAUCUGAAUCCGAUCUGGUUCGAAAGUUCAACAGAAAAUGUCGAAGCUAUUCUUCGUUCUACGAUAAUUUAUUUUAUCUACAUAUAGACCUGAUUAGUUUAUCUCUAAAUCUAUCUUAUUAGGGUUAAUAUUGUUAUUUCAGCUGUCAAUUACCAAAUAUGUUAAUAUUAUUAAAUUUUAAUACUAAUUUAAAUUUACAUGUAUUACUCUUAAAAAUUGUAAAAUAGUACCUAAUAGGGUUGGAUUCAAUUAGUAAAUAUGAGAGCUUUUCUUUUAUUAACUGGUUUCGACUCUGUCGGAGAGUAUUUUCGAAUUGUUUUGAGGUUGAAAAUUAUGGUUCAUUCGAUAAAAAAUUAAUAAAUUAUGUUAAAAAAAAAUUGAAAUUAUUUCUCUUGAAGAUGUUCUUGAAUCGAAAAGACUAUAUUAUAAUGUGAUUUGUGAGUGAAAGGAAUAGUUGUGCUUUAAGAAUUAAUUGGAUGUAAAUUAACUUUCAUAUAAUUAUUAAAAAAAUUUAAAAAG
rnacentral:misc_RNA from 1 species